rnacentral:misc_RNA from 1 species
UAAUCCUGUCCGAUUCCACAAUGGCAAAAAUUAGGAUCAUGGAAUUCAUACAUCAUGUGGGUAUGGUCAUCUGGAAAUUAUAUAAAGAAAUCUCGUAUCAAAAGCAGCAACAUGCCAACAUCCACACCAUACUGAACAAAGCCAGUCUACAGAGGACAUGACAAUAAAUAUAGUUUUUGAAUAUGUUAUGUAAAAUAAAUGCACUUUAAUCAAAAAAAGAAAUCUUUGACACUUUGUUCAUAAAUAAAAUACUGGCUGGUUUAGACUUUAAUGAAAAAAAAGGAAGCAUCACACCUGGAAAAGCUCUUUAUAUAACCAGGAAACUUAUCUUGAACAGCAAUGUACAGAUUUGUAUUAGUCACAUAGAGCUGAGAUAGAAUCAUUUAUUCCUAAUUUUUUUAACCGAAAGAUACACAUUUCUUUUCCCGCCAGUGAAUAUGCUUCCUUCCUUCACUGAUGCACUUAAUGCGACCUAACUCCAUUAUGAAUGUAUCAAUGAAAGCUACCGUUGAAUAAAAAAAAGCCGUUGACUGCAUCUCUUUCUACAUCCCCUUACUUUGCAUUGAAUGACUCAGAAUUGAAAUAUGACCCACAUCAAUUUCCAAUUAAUACAACAUAAUUUUAUAGAAAAAUAAAAGGAUGCAUUGAAUAUAAGCUCCACGAAAUUAACAACGGUUCAUCAAAUAUUUGUAUUUAUACAUGUGCAGAGUAAAUUAAAUAUG